rnacentral:lncRNA from 1 species
CAUUUUAACACCAAAGACUGGUUGAAAAGUCCAUAGUUUCCUCUUACAGCUUCAUCUAAAAACUUGUUGACUUCUCCCCACAUCACCUGUAGACAAUCAGUUUCUGAAGGAUAAUUCCUUCUUAAUUAAUGCAAAGAUUAAAAAUCUUUUAACUCUCUGUAAUAAAUAUGUGUAAACAUUUGUAAGUCAGAUAGGAUGGGAGAGUUAAUACUUCAUAAAUGUGAUACAAAUGAUGGUUUCCUACAAAUGUAACUUUGUGAAAGAAGAAACAUUCAGAAGUUUUAAAAGUUACUUUAUUAACUCUGUCAUUAAUUCAAAGAGUAAUGUUACAUUCCGUACAUUAACUCCUUUCUCUUCUUUAACUUUUCUGAUGGAUAAACGUAAAUGAUAUACCUAUUUAAGGAGAAUCAUUUGGGAGCUAAACAUGCAGAAAAUAUAGAAAACAAAUUACUCUCUCCCUCAUCAAUUCUUUGCUUUAGUCUUGGCUUCCUAUUCUUUUAAACUCUUGGACAAUUGGUUUAGGCAACCUCUAAACUUCCAGCCACGAGUGCACGUGUUUAGAAGUAGCUGUGGAACCUUGGGGAGCGACUGGAUAGAAGCAUUUGCACCAGAGUCGGGCCGAAAUCGCUUUCAAGGCAGUGGCUUACCACGACACAGUGUUUGUGAUAACUUUCUUACUAUUAUUAAUUCCUAUCCAAUAUCAAUAUUGUAGCAUUUUUCCAACAAUUUGAAAGCGAUCUCCUUACUUACAAUAUUGAUAAAUGGCUAUUUCUUUGAACAAAACUUUUUCUGGUUUGUCAAAAUUGAGCCAUUGAACGAAAAUAAUUUUAAAAGAUGGUCACAAAGACUUUUUAUUUUCUUAGAACAAUUAGAAGUUAAUUAUGUUUUGUUUAAUAAUGGAUCUAACAUAAUUACUGGUUCUAAUACCGCUAUGAUUGUUGAUGAAUUUGGUAAAAAGAAGACUAAAAAGAAUAACAUAAAUGCUAGAGGGUAUUUAUUGAGUCAUAUGACUAAUACUUUAUUUGAUUUAUUUUUUACUAACAAAUCUACUAAAGAAAUAUGGGAUAGCUUGCAAAACUCAAAACAGGGGGAACAAAAUAAUGUCCAAGUUCAUCUUGUUGAGAAUGAUGACGUGAUUGCGACAGUAGUCGUCGAGACGAACUUGAUGUCUAACAAGACUGAGUUGGUGUUGGACAUAGGAGCCUCAAGGCAUUUCUGCCCCAACAAAGAGAAAUUCCAUGACUUUGAGGAAUCCACCAAUGGCAAGUGCGUCUACAUGGGUAACUCCGCUACUGCUGGAGUUAUGGGUAAAGGAAAAAUUUUACUUAAAUUAACUUCUGAAAAAAUAUUAUCCUUGAACAAUGUUCUGUAUGUUCCCUCGCUCCGUAGAAACUUAGUUUCUGGAGCACUUCUCAAUAAAGUAGGCCUUAAACUUAUUUUUGAAGCCGAUAAAAUAAUUAUUUCUCGUGGAGGAAACUUUGUUAGGAAGGGAUAUCUUAGUGGGGGCUUAUUUGUACUGAACAUUGAUCAUGAGAUUGUCAAUAAUGUAAAUAUUCCUAAUUUUGCUUAUAUUGCUGAGUCUAUUAAUUUAUGAAAUGGUAGGCUAGGUCAUGUUAAUAUUGCUGCUAUUCAAAAACUUAGAAAAAUAGGAUUAAUUCCUACCAUAAAUAUUUAUGAUAUUUCUAAAUGUCCUCUGUGUGUAGAAGCAAAGCAUGCUAAGAAACCUUUUAAAUAUGUUACUAGUAGAAAGACCGAAUUGCUUGAACUAGUACAUUCAGGCUUAGCAGAUUUUAAGAACACUAUUUGUAAAGGUGGAAAGAAGUAUUACAUUACUUUUGUUAAUGACUUUUCUAGGUACACUAAGGUAUAUCUCCUUAAGUCUAAAGAUGAGGCUGAAAGCAUGUUUUUAAAAUUCAAAGAAGAAGUAGAAAAUUAAUUAGACAGGAAAAUCAAGAGAUUUAGAUCUGACAGGGGCGGUGAAUGUAAUACUAAAACUCUAGAAGAUUUUUGUGAGAAAAAUGGUAUUAUCUAUGAGUUUAGUGCUCCUUAUACUCCCCAACAAAAUGGUGUAGCUGAACGAAAGAAUAGAACUCUUAAGGAAAUGAUGAAUUCUAUGCUUUUAAGCUCAGGUCUACCUGACUAUAUGUGGGGAGAAACUGUCUUGUCUGCAUGCUAUAUUCUUAAUAGAGUCCCUCAUAAAAAGUUAGACAAGACCUUAUAUGAGUUAUGGAAAGUAUUUGCCUCUAACUUGAAAUUUCUAAAAGUGUGGAGGUGUUUGGCUAAGAUUGGUCUACCUUAUUUUAAACGAGUAAAUGUAGGUUCUAAGACCUUUGAUACUGUCUUUAUUGGUUAUUCUUAAAACAGUGUUGCAUAUAGAUUUAUGUCUUUAAAUGAUUAUUCUAUUUGUGAAUCUAGAGAUGCAGAAUUUUUUGAGCAUGUUUUUUCGUUGAAAAAUGUUGUGCCUAGUAAUGUGCAAAAUAAUACUUCUGUAUCUGUGUCUGUUAACUCUCAUGUUAUGCCUGCUUCUGAUGUUAAUGCUAAUGAGUAUGAAAAUGAACUAAGAAGGAGUAAAAGACGUAGAACUGAGACUAGAUUUGGUCCUAAUUUUAUCACCACCUUCUUAACUGAGGAUUUUGAUAUCGAUACUUUAAAUGAUGAAUUAGUGUCUAUCUACUUAAUAGAAAAAGACCCUAAGACAUAUGAUGAAGCAAUGAGUUCGAUAGAUGCGAUAUUUUGGAAAGAGGCUACUAAAAGUGAAUUAGACUCUAUAGUUUAUAAUCACACAUGGGACUUGUAUGAUUUGCCUAAAGGUUGUAAACCCAUAAGUAGCAAGUGGAUAUUCAAGAAGAAAUUAAGGCCUGAUGGUAAAAUUGAUAAAUAUAAGGCUAGACUUGUGAUUAGGGGCUUUAACCAAAAGAAACGUGUUGAUUAUUUUGAUACUUAUUCUCCUGUGACUAAAAUACCGACCAUUAGAACUCUUAUUGCUCUAGCUGUUAUUCACAAUUUAGUGGUACACUAAAUGGAUGUCAAAACUACAUUUUUAAAUGGUGAUUUAGAGGAAGAGAUCUAUAUGACUCAUCCUGAGGGUUUUGUGGUUUCAGGAUAAGAGGAUAACGUAUGCAAAUUAAGAAAGUCCUUAUAUGAACUUAAGCAGCCACCUAAGCAGUGGUAUGAAAAAUUUGAUUUCACAUUCAUCUGAUACCUGUGUUUAUUCUAAAAUAAUAGGAUCAGACUGUGUGAUUAUAUGUUUAUAUGUGGAUGACAUGUUAAUCUUUGGCCCUAAUGUGAAUGUUGUAAAUGAGACUAAGAAAUUUUUAUUUUCUAAAUUUGAAAUGAAAGACCUUGGAGAAGCUGAUGUGAUUUUAGGAAUAAAAAUCAAAAGAAAUGUUAAUGGUUUCUCCUUGUGUCAGUCUCAUUAUAUUGAGAAAAUGUUGAAAAGGUUUAAUUGUUUCGAUGUAGUUUCAGUGAGAACUCCUUAUGAUCCUAGCAUACACUUGAAAAAAAAUAAAGAUUUCAGUGUUUCUCAAACUGAAUAUGCUAAAAUAAUUGGGAGUGUAAUGUUUCUCAUGAACUAUACUCGGCCUGAUAUAACUUAUGCUGUUAGUAGAUUGGGUAGAUAUACUCAUAAUCCCAAUAAUGAACAUUGGCAUGCUCUUUAUCGCUUGUUAAGGUACUUGAGAGGUACUAUGGAUUGGUGUUUGCAUUUUAAUAAAUUUCCUGCUGUUUUAUAAGGUUUUUGUGAUGCAAAUUGGGUGACUGACAAUUAUGAAGUUAGCUCUACCAGUGGCUAUGUGUUUACUUUGGGUACAGGUGCUAUUUCAUGGAAGUCUUCAAAGCAGACUUGUAUAGCAUAUUCUACUAUGGAAUCUGAAUUCAUUGCUCCCGAGUUGGCAGGGCAAGAAGCUGAGUGACUGAGAAAUCUUUUGACAGAUGUGCCUUUAUGGGGAAGACAAAUGUCACCAGUCUCUUUACAUUGUGACUCACAGACGGCAAUUGGAAUUGCUAAAAAUAGUGUGUACAAUGGUAAAAAGAGACAUAUUCGCAUCAGACAUGGUGCAAUUAAACACUUAUUGAAACAUGGUGUUAUUUCCUUGGAAUAUGUAAGAUCCUAAAGAAACUUGGUGGAUCUUAUGACCAAGGGCUUGACAAGAAAAAUAGUCAUUGAAUCGUCGAGGGGGAUGGCGCUAAAGCCCAUGGAUUGAGGUAAUAUGGUGGAUACCCAUUUGUGGUCAAACGAAGCCAUAUAGGUCGUCAAUAAACACUACAUAUCCUAUCCCUAUGGCGUGAGGUAGUGUAUUAUAAGGUUGAGCCUAUUUUUUCUCUUAAUGAUCCAUAGCCUUAAGGUGGUCUAUGAGAUAGACUUGAUGGGUCACCUACGUGAGUGUAAAAGGUUGGUCUCUUUUUUAUGAAAGAUUUGGAUUAUCUUUCUAGAGCACUCAUGAGACCCAAGGUUUGUGUGCAUGACCAUAAACGCACUUUGUAGUAUCGCGGAGACUGCUUAAAAUCAAGGAUAUAGUAUGUGUUAUGGGGGUCUCAACUUAUGUCCAUCUAGUUCAAAAGUACUUCACUUUUUGGAUAUUUGUUGUUGCCUCACAUCACUACGUGCCAAUUCAAAUCGAAAGAUAUUGACACUUAAGUACAUGUUCCUUCCAUUUGCCCAAAAACUAUUCCAUUCUUUAUCUUUGCGUUAGUGGGGGAUUGAAGGAUAAUUCCUUCUUAAUUAAUGCAAAGAUUAAAACUCUUUUAACUCUCUGUAAUAAAUAUGUGUAAACAUCUAUAAGUUAGAUAGGAUGGGAGAGUUAAUAUUUCCUAAAUGUGAUACAAAUGACGGUUUCCUACAAAUGUAACUUUGUGAAAGAAGAAACAUUCGGAAAUUUUAAAAGUUACUUUAUUAACUCUGUCAUUAAUUCAAAGAGUAAUGUUACAUUACGUACAUUAACUCCUUUCUCUUCUUUAACUCUUCUGAUGGAUAAACGUAAAUGAUAUACCUAUUUAAGGAGAAUUAUUUGGGAGCUAAACAUGCAGAAAAUAUAGAAAACAAAUUACUCUCUCCCUCAUCAAUUCUUUGUUUUAGUCUUGACCUCCUAUUCUUUUCAACUCUUGGGCAAUUGGUUUAGGAAACCUCCAAACUUCCAGCCACGAGUGCACGUGUUUGGAAGUAGCUGUGGAACCUUGGGGAGCGACCGGCUAGAAGGAUUUGCAUCGGAGUCGGGCCGAAAUCGCUUUCAAGGCAGUGGCUUACCACGACACAGUGUUUACGAUAACUUUCUUACUAUUAUUAAUUCCUAUCCAAUAUCAAUAUUGUAGCAUUUUUUCCCACAGUUUCAACAGACCUUAUCUGUCAAAAUAUCUAGUACGCAGGUGGGGCAAUAAUUUCAUAGCAGCGGGGAAUAGAAAAUAUCUAUCAAAAUAUCUAGCUUUCUUUUUUUGCGAGUGGGUGGAAUAGAAAAUGACGGUUUCAUAGCAGCAGUCGGAUAUUGAAAGAUUGAAAUAUGUAUGCAUCACUCUCAUGUAUCAAAAAGAAAACAUAGAAAAGGCCGUCAACUAAGAGGAUGUUUGGCAUGAAGGAAAAUGCUAGAAAAUAUUACUUCCUCCGUCCAUGUUAUUUGUAUCAUAUUGUUAUGACCCCAUAUAUUUGUAUAGUCAAAAUCGAGUUACACCAUAUAGCUAUCCUAGAAUUAAGAAGCCAUCGAAAAAUGUAUGUUAAUUUGAUAAAUCUGGAUACUUUUGAAAUUAUAUGGACAUGACAUGAGCCCAUCCUUCGUUACAGCUAUAAACUAAUACCACCCAAAUGGGCAUCCAAUUGAUUUUAUCCUCAACAGCGGCAUAGCCAAUGUGUGGUUCCACAAAGUGGAAUCUGGAAAGGGUAGAGCGUACACUGACCUUAGAGAGGUUGGCUGCGUUAGACCACACAGAAAAACUGUCUAAAGCAGUUCAAGAAAAGUAGUAUCAAAAGUGAAAGCAUAACAAAAUAAAAUACUUCGAUAAUCAUAUAAGGUCAGAAUUCAAAUUAACAACUUAAAAUUUAGAAAAUUUUUCAAGUAAUUUUUUUUUCAAUUUCCUUCUCUAACAUGUAUAUAACAAGACGAAUAACUACCAGUACUUAAUUACUAGUUCAAGAAGAACAAUCCCUAAUGAAACAGAGGAUAUCCAAUACAUGUCAACAAUUAACAUUAUAUCAGCAAACAAGUCACAAGUAAUGUGCAAGAAAAAAUUGAAAAGCUUACCACUUUCAACUCCAACAACCCGUCAAAUGGCUGAUAUGUAGCAAUUCUGCUUAUACUCGAAUCCCGAGUCGUCGUCAUCAUCUUGACACAUUUUCUUCCAGCCAUUCUUGAACUAAAUCCAAUGACCACUAUAACCAUACAAACAGAGACAAUUCAAAAUGGUCAAAACAACAAAUAAAAGAAACAAAUAGAAAGGAAAAAGUUCAAUGCCCCAACAAGAAUGUAC